GAUACCCUGCUGUGUGCGUGAUGCUGCAUCACCGGUUUUGAGCCAACACCCAAAAAACGGGAUUGCUCCUGCCAGGAAUGAUGCGAUAGGCUUUGGCCAAGGCAGAAUGACUGCAAACAAUCCCACCCUGCAUUUUGCAGGUUCAAAACUACGCAGCACACGGCACGGCGGGGACUUU
rnacentral:other from 1 species